rnacentral:tRNA from 1 species
GCCUUCGUGGUGUAGUGGUCAGCACGCGUAUUCGGGAGGUCCGUGGUUCGAGUCCCGGCGAGGUCA